ensembl:miRNA
UGGAUGGAAAUAGGUAUCUCCAGAGAACAGUUUGUCCCACUUGUUUUUGACGUCUGUCGUAGCAAGGGACAAAUUGCUCUCUGGAAGUACAUUUCUCCA